rnacentral:rRNA from 1 species
UACGGAGGGUGCAAGCGUUACUCGGAAUCACUGGGCGUAAAGCGCGCGCAGGCGGGCUGAUAAGUUGGAUGUGAAAGCCUACGGCUCAACCGUAGAACUGCAUCCAAAACUGUCAGUCUAGAGUCUGGGAGGGGAAGAUGGAAUUAGUUGUGUAGGGGUAAAAUCCGUAGAGAUAACUAGGAAUACCAAAAGCGAAGGCGAUCUUCUGGAACAGUACUGACGCUGAGGCGCGAAAGCGUGGGGAGCAAACAGGAUUAGAUACCCUAGUAGUCC